UACGUAGGGUCCAAGCGUUAAUCGGAAUUACUGGGCGUAAAGCGUGCGCAGGCGGUUGUGCAAGACCGAUGUGAAAUCCCCGGGCUUAACCUGGGAAUUGCAUUGGUGACUGCACGGCUAGAGUGUGUCAGAGGGGGGUAGAAUUCCACGUGUAGCAGUGAAAUGCGUAGAGAUGUGGAGGAAUACCGAUGGCGAAGGCAGCCCCCUGGGAUAACACUGACGCUCAUGCACGAAAGCGUGGGGAGCAAACAGGAUUAGA
rnacentral:rRNA from 1 species